rnacentral:rRNA from 1 species
UACGUAGGGACCAAGCGUUGUUCGGAUUUACUGGGCGUAAAGGGCGCGUAGGCGGCUUAACAAGUCACUUGUGAAAUCUCCGGGCUUAACUCGGAACGGCCAAGUGAUACUGUCGCGCUAGAGUGCGGAAGGGGCAAUCGGAAUUCUUGGUGUAGCGGUGAAAUGCGUAGAUAUCAAGAGGAACACCUGAGGUGAAGACGGGUUGCUGGGCCGAUACUGACGCUGAGGCACGAAAGUGUGGGGAUCAAACAGG